GGAAAUUCUCUCCGUCUCUUCUCCUUUCUUGUUCGAGCUCCCUCCCCAAGCACGGCCGGGGCUGGAUCGCCCUCGACUGCUUUCUCCCCCCGGCUUGCGGAAGCAGGGAGAAAGUUGGGCGCCGCUGGGAGCGCCUCUUCCCCCGCUGUGUGUGUACGUGUGCACGCUCACGUCUCCCCCGCGCCGAGGCCGGGGACAGGAACUGCUCCGGGCACCGUCAGUCCGACGGCGCAGCUCUGGGGGCUCGUAGGGCAGGGGGAGGGCGGGGACGCGAGCGCAGCGCCACUCACCCCGGGUGACGCGCUUUCGCCCCUCCCCCGCCGUCUCCACCCUCCUGCUGGAGAACAGAGACAAAACUCCAGGAGGAAGUGUCCCAGGAUCUGCCGGAUCUCUACAAGGAGUGCUCAUGGGGCCUGGAGGGGAGGCCCUCUGGCCUUGGAGCACUGUGGCACUUUCUCUAUGAUGGGUUUGGUCGGAGAACUGUGAGUAAAGGACGAGUUGUUGUUUACUGUGUGUGUGUGGGGGGGCAAUUUUCCAGGGAGCCAGAUUUUGAAAAUCUUCAUGAAAUGAUCAAAUCUGUUAAUGUGAUUUAACCAGCAGUAUGCCAUUAGCGUCCAUGGAACUACAUUUUCAUUUUUGAGUUUUUUUUUUUUUUUCCUGAGGAGUUCUAACUAUUUGUAAAGGUUAAUAUUUCAUGGUUUUGGUUCUUUUUAAAAUAAAUCUUGCAAAGAUCAAAGAGAACA
rnacentral:lncRNA from 1 species